rnacentral:lncRNA from 1 species
CCAUGAAGAUCCCCCAGCAUCCUCAUCCUUUUUCGUGGCGGCAUCCCAUCCACCACUUCCAGUUGCAGGAGCUGAACCCCAAGCUGACUUCCCUGCACCAUCAUUACUGCCGCCAGCAUUGCUGCCCCAUCCACCAGUUUCAGUUGCAGGUGCAGCUGCAGCAGCUGAGCCCCAAGCUGACUUCCCUGCACCAUCGUUACUGCCGCCAGCAUUGGCACCCCACCCACCAGUUUCAGUUGCAGGUGCAGCUACAGCAGCUGAUCCCCAAGCUGACUUCCCCGGACCAUCAUUACUGCCGCCAGCAUUGGCACCCCAUCCACCAGUUUCAGUUACAGGUGCAGCUGCAGCAGCUGAGCCCCAAGCUGACUUCCCUUCACCAUCGUUACUACCGCCAGCAUUGCUGCCCCAUCCACCAGUUUCAGUUGCAGGUGCAGCAGCUGAACCCCAAGCUGGCUUCUUCUCACCAGCAGCAGCAGCAGCAGCCUUUCCCCAUCCUCCCUCAUCUGAAUUUUCAGUUUUAGCACCACUUGAACUCGCUCCCCACCCACCACCAGCUUCUUUCUUUUCACUAGCAGCAGCUGCACCCCAUGCAGAAUCUCCACCAUCUUCCAGUCAUGAAAUAAGAAGAAUUUAAAACAUUACGAUAUGAUUAUGAAAUAACAAGAUACAACAUAUUGAUCCAUACCUUUACUGGCAUCAUUAUCCGUGGAACCAAAAAGAUUUGCAGAACCAGAUUCUGGUUGAAGCUGUACCAAGAAAGAAAUCAAUUAUCAUAUUACGGAAAGAUUUAAAGAAAGUAGAUUAAGAUCUGAACAAACUGAUGAUCCUGCUGCUGCAGGAAAAGGUGCCCAAGAACUCCUACAUAUACAAAGUACUCGAAUCAUCAGAUAAAUACAUAAGAGAUAUAUCUAAGUUGUAAGCUUAUGUUUGUGUUUCUAUACAUAAGUUAUGUAUGUUAAAAACCUUUCAGUAGUUUGGCCUCCGGUAUUCCACCCUCCACCACCACCUCCAGGCUCAGAUGCCGCUCCUCCAUCCAUCCAUCCUUUAAAUGAUACAAUAGUGUAUUAGCCACACAGAUGACACACACUAUUUAAAUAAAAUUUUAAAAAAAAAAAAAAAAGAUCUUUUAACCAUAAAUAUAAUUUCCCACCUUGAGAACUCCCAGGCUCACCGAGCAUAUCAAAUGGCUUUGCAGAAUCCUGCCCAUCCCUUUGGAGAACCAAACAAAAUGUCAGGAUAGAGUUUAUGGGGGGUAGCAAAUAAAAUAUAAAGUAGAGAGUUUAAACCACUAUACCCAGUGGAAACCCCAGAACUUUUUCCUUUAACCUCAGCAAGAUGCUCAGCUUUAACUGCAGUGCAGACACAAAAGGAUUACCUCCUAAAUCCCAUUAAAAACAAAAUAUGAUUAAAAAAAAAAAAGAUCACCUGUCAGAAUCUUGUGCUGGGAAUCAAGCUUUACAGUGAUAUCUGAAUAUCGAAUUGCCAUGACACGGCACAUGUAUCCCUUUAGGGGGCCCACACGUAUUCUCAAUGACUGCCCAACAGAGAAACCUUCUUUAUCUUCAACUGCAUGCACAGCACAACAGAAUAUUAAGAAUAUUAAGGAUAUGAUCAUAUCACAUGUUUGAAAACCCUUGGCAUUAAAUGGUUGUAAACUUACAGUUGCGGUUAUUAUCAAUCCCUUCAAAAGGUUUCUUAGGUGAUAAAGGGGACUUGGGUGAUGAUGGGACAUCAUCAAAACCAGAGCCACCUGAUUUACCACCCUGCAAUACAUAAAUUUUUUUAAUAAUAUUGAAGAAAUAACAGUUACCAUGCUAAAUAUAUAUAGUAAUCUGUGAUCAACUAACCUUUCCUUUAUAAGAAUCCAUAGAAGAUGCCAUCUUUUCACAGAUCUGUGCCUUGGCACAAAAGUAACCACAAUUUUCCUGUAGAGUCUCAUCAUAUACAAACACAACCCCUUUGUAUAUUUGCUUGACAAUUCCUCGUUUAUCCUGCCAGGUUUACUCAAACCACCAGAUGUUAUAUAAUACAUUUCAAGUAUAACUUUGAUGAUAAAGUACGUGAAACUUUUAAAAUAAGAACAAACCUCUAGUGGACCUUCCAAGACCCUCACAGUGUCAUUCAUAUAUAUGAUCUUUUUAUGUUGAUCCAAGGCAUUGAAUUUCUUAUCAAAAUCAGCCUUCUUUAACAAACGAGCUUCAACUGCCACUACCACCAUCCGUUCUGUGCCUUCCUCCAAAAUCUGGAAAUAAAAGGUUCAUAUCAUAAAUAAAUAAAUAAACAAGAAACCAAAUCAACAGUCAAAAGAAGAGUGAUUAUAAAUAUAACAUUACAACCUUAAUGCGGUCAUCCUUCUCUCUCCCAAUUACAAUCCCAAAUGACUUGCGACUGCAAACAAAAUUACAAAAAAAAAAAAAAAACGUAUAAAGAAACGAAAAAAAAAAAAAGGUAAUGAAGGAGAACAGAUCAGAUAGUUAGAGAGAGAAAAUACCCAUGGAACACAAGAUCAGGAACUUCAAAACUAUUCUCCAUGCUGGAGCUCCCCUCUCCUUUUUCACCUGUUUUAUCGUUAUUUACUGUUUGUUUUUUCUUUUUACGUUCACCAAAAAGUCCAGUAAGCCACUCUACAUCAUUGGAUUCUUCUUUAUUGGCAGGCAUAAACUUUAUAAGCUCAGCUUCAGUAGGCCUGACAUCCCAGAAACUCAAUGAAUCCAAUGGCACUUUUUUGUAAAGGUAACCAUCUUUCAGUGUCAUUCCAUCAAAAACCUCAUAUGUAUCUCCAGUUUGACGAUCAUGCCUAUAUUGAACUAGUGGUCGAUAUGCCCUACACAAAAUGAUACAUAGAUUGAUGAAUAGGUGUCACUCAAAAAUGUAUAGAUAUCAUAAAGAAGAGCAAUUGUGUGUUUGGUACUCAAGUUCACUGGAAGGAAUCAAUCUAGGAGCUGGUAUUGUUUUUUUCUUCCCAUUAACUCCUCCACCCUAUAAACAAACAAAAAGAUUACUUUACAUGAUGAUAACAGAAAACUUAUAAUUGUAACAAUAGUGAAAAGUUCGUUACAAAUUUUUCAGCAACAGCUUCUAGGUCUAUUCUUGGGACAAGCUUAACAGUAACUUUCUUCUGAGCUCCAGUCACAUUCACACUCACAACCUGCAUUCAUGUGACUAGACAAUGAACACCCAACUCAGAUGGAAAAUAGAAAUAUAGGUGAGACAGAAAUAUACCUGUGCUAGAUCUCCCUUGUAUUUCCCAUUUUUCACACGAGCCCAGGUGUCCACUUUUACCCCACUGUAAGUGCUUCGAACAGAGAACAAAUGUGGAACAUCAGAAGCUGGAAUACGAGCCACUCGGCUUGGAUAUAUAUUGCAAAGACCUUUACAUGCCUGUAUUAGGAGGGAAAUUUAAACUAUCAACUUGAUGAACAAAAACAAGCAUGCAAGAUAUAUAUAUAUAUAUAUAUAUAUAUAUAUAAAGAUAGACAUACAUGUAAUGGUGCAUAUAACAAAACAAAGAAAACUAGUCAAAUGCACCUCAUUAAUAUCAGAUUGCUUUUCAGCUUCAAUGUAAAUAAAGCCCUUCACAUGCUCAACAGCAAAUGCAGAAACUAUUUGUAGCUUAGUUCCAAGAGCUUUCAAGUCAACAUACUUCUGCAUGAGGCAAAAAGCCGAAUGCCUCUCCCUUCCAACCUACAGUCAAUUUUGUUCAAAAAUGACAUCAACUAGGGCCUAAAAGCAAGUUGACAAGCUGAACAGAUUAGCUACAGAAAAAAUACCAUGCAUUUGACUUUCCAGAUUGUUGGAUCCAUCGAAUAUAACAUAUAUGUGUUCUUUUCAUCCGACUUUGGAGCUUCGGUAGUUUGGUCUUCUGCGUAUCUAACAAAAGUAGAACCUGGUUUAUAACGCUCUUCUAAGAUUUUCUCCAUCUCAUCUACAUCCAUCUCCUCUUCUUUUGGAAAAAAAGGAAUGUUAGGAGUCUUUGGUUCAGCCUUGACUUCAAUAUCUGGGCCAAAGUCAUCUUCAAGAAACACUACAGAAGCAAAUAAACAAAAAGUAAACUUAACAUGAGACAAUUAGACAGUAAGAAAUCUAAUAAAAGUACAAACAAGUACAUUAAAAUCUAAUAUAAAUGCUGAGUGCUGACAAAUUACUAAUGCUGUUGCUAUCCUAGCAUCACAAAACAAAGUACAGGUGGUCCAGGGUAUAUGUGUUUCAAUUUAAAGAGGUGAUGAGAUUUUCUUAAAACAAAUUCAUGUAUGAUAUCCAUACAGUCAGAGGUAUACAAAACAAAUUCAUCAAUAAAUAUUAACAAAAAACAGAAACUACAUUGUAUGAAAAUUAGUGUGUUUUUCAAAUUAAAGAGGUGAUGAGAUUUUCUUAAAACAAGUUCAUGUAUGAUAAUUAUACAGACAGAGGUAUACAAAACAAAUUCAUCAAUAAAUAUUAACAAAAAACAAAAACUACAUUGUAGGAAAAUUAGUGUUCCACAUCGCUGCUACAAAUUUGCAGCAAGUGAGAAGUAAACCGAUGAUGAUCGGAAAUGGUAGAAGUGUUUGUUUGUAACAAAAUAAAUUUCACAUGCAACCCUAAAAUAAACCCCAUCUCUACUACAGGUUUGCAGCAAGUGAGCUACAAUUACCCGUAUAUAAGUCAUGAAAUGAGAAAUAAACCAUAUUCAUUCAUUUACAUCAUAUUAGUCGAACAGUGAUGAUGAUCGGAAAUAGUAGAAAUGUAUACUUCCGAACAACAAAAUAAAGUUCCCAUCAAAACCCUCCGAACAACAAAAUAAUUUUUCCAUGAAACCCUAAAAGCCAGAUACAUUCCAUCAAAUACCACCAUAUCGAAACCAUGAGUACCAAAACCCGCUUUAAAACGAAAAGAUAAACCCUAAACUUGAACAAAUCACAAAUUAACCCUAAAAUGUAACAAAAAUGCAGACGAUGACGAUGAUCGGAAGAGUUUUUAAUGUUUAUACCGUCAUUUAUAAAAACGUCAUCGUCACUAGAAUCGCUCUCCUCGUUUUCUAAAGCGGCGUCCUCGAAGAACUGGAGGACAUUGAGGUUUUUUCUCUUCCGGUAAGCAGAUUUAUCGUCUCCAUCGUGCUUCCGUUUCCCUGAUGAAUAAUCAUCAGCGAUCCCUUUGCCCUUAUCCGCCAUUUUUCUGCUUCAAUUGACAGAUUUCGAGGGUUUUCGCCCGAAAUUUUGAGAGAUGAGAGAGUGAGCUAUGAAAGGGGUUUCUGGCUUUCUGCAUUCAUUUUGCUGUGAAGUUGCGUUUGGAAAGAGAGUGUAGUACUAUUUAUUUGGUAGUACCAGGUUUUUUUGGUUUUACAUUUCGGCAUCAAAACUACACAUAUUUCAUAGUUGUUACAGGAUUUUGUGAUUUAUUUUUAAAAGACAAUGACUUAAAAGGGUAAUGUAAUUUGUACAUAUUUAGUUAUUGAUUUUUGUUUUCGUCCAUAUUUUCCUUUUUAAUUUGUUAAACUGUACAUAUUUAGUCCUCUCCAGGUUAGCCUGUAAAAAUGACUUAAUAGGGUAAUAUAUUUCUCACUUUGUACACAUUUAAUCCUUAAUAUUUCUGUACACAUUCAGUCCUUAGUAUCUUUUUGUUGCAAAAUAAGUUAAUUCUUUAAAUUUUUCUCACGACAUCUUAUGUGGGAUAGCAUAUGGUGGCGUGAUGGGUUGAGGUGGUCCUGUUAUAUGUUGUAGGCCAAGAUACCUUGUGCGAGCCGGCUGUAAGGUGUAGGCAUGGAGACUCGAGAAGAGCGGUUGGGUUAAGGCGGCAUGCCGACAAACCUUCGGUAUUCCAGUCUGAUGACUGAUUGGACCUGUUGCAUGUUGGCAUUUCAGACCGAUAAUUAAUUGGGUCAAGGUAUUCCAAUCUGAUGAGUGUGGGCUCGUUAUGCAUGAUAAUACGUUUGUUGUAUCAAGUGUUUUGGCGAAAGUUCACUAAACUUUGUGUUUACCCAAUUGUUUAUGUUUUUAGGUUAUAUUAGGGAUGAGCAUAACCGGGUACCCGCCUAUUUUAGCUGGAACCAGAACCGCUCCCGGAACCGGCGGUUCUUAAGUUAUUGGAACCGGAACCGUCUACAACGUUUCCUAGAAAAUUGGAACUGCUCCCGGAACCGUCGGAACCGAUUCCGGGUACCCGGUGUAGCACCUGGUUCCUGGUACAUAAAUCUUAUUUGAGUAUUCUCUUUUUUUUAGCCUUGGACUCGGCAAGUCAUAGGUCCGACUCACCGAGUAAAGUCGGGACCCGGGACAUGUUUAAGUUGGCGACUCGGCGAGUCCAUAUUCCGGACUCGGCGAGUCACCGUUGUUGGAUGAAACCCUAGGUUUCAGGGGUUUGCACCUUAUUUAAGCCUCAUGUCCGCCCCAAGCCAGCCCCCAUUCACCCUCAGAGCCCCCAACCCUCGUUCAAAGCUUAUUCCCUUGAGAAUUUGAUGCAUUUUGUGUGUUCUUGAAGGAUUUGAGAAGGAGGUGGAGUAGAUCAAUAGGAAGGGAAGGAAGCCAAGCAUCUUAGUGUUCUCUCAGUGAUUCCUUUGAGGUAUAACCCGUUUUCCCUCUGUUUCUAUGCUUAUUACUCCAUUAAGUCUUUCUUGAGCCCUUCCCCAAGCUUGUAUGUGCAAUAUAAUUCGUAAUAAGUUGAUUGGCCUUUAGAUCUAGGCAUGGUUGAGCUCCAGGAGCUCAGAUCCGUUGCCUUUAUGGACCCAUAUUGCAUGAAGACCCUAGAUCUACCCUUUUAAGGCAUUUUGAGCCCUAAAACUCUCAUUGGUGAAUAUCUACACGUAAAGUUGGAAACUUUACGUGUUAUUCAUGCUCUAGGAACCCAGUUCUGUGGUUAGCAUAAGCUGGUUUCAAGCAAAAUCGACCAUUUAGAGACUGCAUGGUAACGACUCGGCGAGUCGUUCAUCUGACUCGGCGAGUCUGCUCGCGAGUCUCCGAGUUGUCCCUUUUUCGUUGUGUCGAGUGUGAGUAGUGAGUCACGAGGUGUGACUCAGUGAGUUGGAAGCCGAACUCAUCCAUGAAGGAACUCGGCGAGUCAUUGCCCUGACUCGGCGAGUUCAAGGCAAUCUCCUUAGAUCAAGAUCAGACUCGGCGAGUUGUUCAUACAACUUGGCGAGUCGCAGCAUAAGUGUUCAUCGGAUGAAGAUGAACUCGACGAGUUGUUCAUAUAACUCGGCGAGUCGCAGCAUAAGUGUUCUUCGGAUGAAGACGAACUCGGCGAGUUGUUCAUACAACUCGGCGAGUAGGAUGAAGGACUUGAACCUCAGUUUGGAAGAAGAACUCGUCAAGUCAACGCCUAACUCGACGGGUAGGGACGGGAUUCGGGUCAAUCGAGUGGAUAGGGACUCGGCGAGUUGGGUCAACUGAAAGUUGACUCUGACUUUGACUUAUGACAUGAUCAGGGGUAAAAUGGUCAUUUUACCCAAAGGACAGUUAGCAGUAAUUGAUUGAGUAUGUUGUGGGAAUUGCAGCCGGAGGAUUUCCGGAGCAGCAGCAGGCAGUCAGUUCCCGACCAGAUCAACAGCUACUUCGAGGUGAGUUACCUUCCAGUAGCGGUGGGUCUACNCACAAUGUCGGCCCACAAGUAGGAGUCGUAUGUUAGAUGAUUGUCUUUGUGAUGUCAUCUAGGUUUGCUACUACCUGAUAUGUUAUAUGCUAGCAUGACAUGUUUCAUGUGAUAGAAGUAUAGAUCGGUUGUUAGGACCGGAGGGUAGUACAGACACCCCAGAAAUGUCUGACAGUAUGUGAUGAUAUGUUUGCAUGCUGGCUUGUAUGUUAUAUGCGGUAGAGGGAGUAGGAGGGGACUAGUCCCCGAGGAUCGGUUGUCAGGACCGACGGGUAGUCAGCACCCCAGAAUUGCUUGACACGGGUAGGACGGCACCCCAGAAUGGCCGCACGGGUAGUCGGCGCCCCAGAAUGGCCGUACCGGGUAGUCAGGCACCCCAGAAUAGUCUGCCAGUAUGUGCGUUAUGUGUUUGCUUGGUAUGUGGUACGAUGGGGGAACUCACUAAGCUUUGUGCUUACGUUUUCCGGUUGUUGUUUCAGGUACCUCUUCAGCCAAGGGGAAGGAGCAGGCGCGGUAUCGGCUCAUCGCACACACACUCCUUGAUUCCGCAUUUAUGAGUUUACCCUGGGAUUAAUACUAUGAUAUUUUGGUUGUAUAACUAUAUUAGAUUUCAAAUUCGGUUUUCGAUAUGAAAUGGUUUAAUUAAGCAAUGUUUUAAUUAUUAAUGACUUCUAAAGUAAUGUUUUAAAAACAAAAUUUUUGGACGUGAAAAUUGGGUCGUUACACCCGGUUUCUUAAAUAUAAAAAUUUUUAUUUAUAAAUUACAGAUUAGAUGGCAUGGAUAUUAACAUUUACAUACAUUCGAAUUAGAAAUGGUAUGAAAAUAAAACAAUUAUAAAAACUUGAUCUUUUACAUAACCACCUAUUAAACUUUAAAAACACUUCUCACAAUUAAAAAACAUCAUAGAAAACAAUUGCCAUCAAGUGAAAUUUAACAAGUAGAAGUGACAAAAAUGACAAAUUACGAACAAUAAACAUAAAACAGCAACAGGAAAAACAACACAUCAAAAACAUCAUAUCUUUGAAUUGGAUCCAUUGAUCUUUUCAGCUCAUCUAUUAAGAAUGGUAUCCUGCAUGGAUAUAACAUAAGAUUUAGUAUGUGAUUGUUAAGAUUCCUAUAAAGGUAUAUAUAAGAACACCAUCAGAAGUUAACGAAAAUGGUAAUCCUUUCAAGAUUUAUCAAUCAGAUACCGAUAUAAACCCUAAAAAAUGUUUGGUUGUUUGUUAGUUAAAUCAAUUCAAACUGAACGGAUAUAACAUUAUAUUUAGUAUGUGAUUCACAAAUCAUUUUGUUGAGGUUACAAUUUCUCAUAGAUUGGAACAUUAGAACGGUUCAUUUGAAAAGCAAAAAAAAUAUAGAAAUUGGAUAUUCUGACAUGACAUCUUAGAUAAAAAGAUAAACUAAUGUUAUAUUUAAAACAAAAAUCAAUUGACAAUUUGACAUACCAUCACUAGUGAGACAUGGAAUAUGUCCACCAGAACAGAUAACAAACCAAUUUGUAAACCAAAUAAUUUAAAGAUUAGCAUCAUAUUAACAAACCUGUUGUAUCUUCAUUCUGGUUACAGGCAUAUGCCUAGUUAACUUUUAAUAAGCUGCCUAAACCUGCAAUUAUAAGCUGUCAAAACCAAUUUGUAAUGACUAAUAACAAGAAUAGAAUAUAUUUUUAUAAUGACUAAUAACAAUAAUAUAACAUAAAGUAUCAUUGAGGUUUCUAUGUAUAAAUACCUUCCAUUAAGUGUCACAAUAAUAAGACAAUAAAACACCAGUCAAAGCAAACCGCAAAGGCAGAAACCCAUACGAUGACUAAAAUAAAAAAAUAGUCAUCAAUCCAAAAUCAAGUAAAGAUGAGUAUAUAUUUAACUAGUAUCUAAAUAUCAACAUGUAUCUCACCAAGCAACCUACUGGUUUGUUGGUGUUCCAAGCAACCUACAUAAUGUCAUCCUUGAGAGUGCACCUCCACCUGCUCUUGGAUCGAUUCACCUGCCAACCGGUUUCAUCAUCAUGCAUUGGAGACUUGGAUAAUCAACCGUAUGUUGAUUUGGUAGAGCCUGAAGACAUCAAACAUAUUUAAUUUGCGAUUAGGAGUGAAUCAAGAUUCACAUAUGGAAAUUAACAAAAAAACAAAAAAAAAAAUAACAGAUGGAAAUCGAGAUUUAACCUAAAGAAUCGACAAAUUAACAAAAAAAUCAACAAAAAAAUCGAAACUAACAAUUUAAUAAUCUAAUCGAGAUUCACAGAUGGAGGUUGAACAACCUAAGAAAUCGAUAAUCGAUAUAUCUAAUUUCACAGUCAACAGAUACAAUCAUAUAUUAGAGUUAUGAUUGAGAAUCUAACAUUGAAGAUGUAACGACCCAAAUUUCACGUCCAAAAAUUUUCUUUUUAAAUCAAUACUUUAGAAAACGAUUGUAAUUAAAAACAUUGUUUGGUCAAACCAUUUCAUAACAUACAUCGUGUCUGAGAACCGAAACAUGCAAACAAUUAACUAUCAGAGUACAAAAUCUCAGAAUGACUCAUGGUGCGGAAAACAAGGUGUGUGUAUGAUGUGCCGCUACCGCGCUAGCUCCUUCCCCCUUGAAGAAGUGGUACCUGAAAACAAAACUGUAAACCGUAAGCACGAAGCUUAGUGAGUUCCCCCAUGAUACCUCAUACCAUACAAACAUACAAUGAACAGCUAGGAGAUACGGGCCUCAUCCACACUCAUGAAGAUAUGGGCCUCGCCCACACUUCGCUAGCUGGGAGAUACGGAACUCACCCACACUCCGCUAUCUGGGAGAUACGAGCCUCGCCCACACUCCCUUAUCUGAGAGAUAUGGGCCUCGCCCACACUCUGCUAUCUGGGAGAUUCGGGCCUCGCCCACACUCCACUAUCAGAGAGAUACGGGCCUCGCCNNNNNNNNNNNNNNNNNNNNNNNNNNNNNNNNNNNNNNNNNNNNNNNNNNNNNNNNNNNNNNNNNNNNNNNNNNNNNNNNNNNNNNNNNNNNNNNNNNNNGCUCAAGUAAGUAUUCCCCAAAGUACUCAUACAAGUUUAUGUUAUAUUUAUCAGCUCUUNCUCAAAUCGAGGGAUUAAAAGAUUUUCUAAAAGAAAUGUUUUCUAAAAAUUAAGAAAAGAGUUUUGAGAAAGAAUGAAGUGUGUGAUGUGCGCGACCGGCCGAGCUCAAGUAAGUAUUCCCCAAAGUACUCAUACAAGUUUAUGUUAUAUUUAUCAGCUCUUGUAGAACAACAUGCUAGAAUAGGACAAAGGAUCUAGGAGUGAUGCCUUAUGUGCCUGCUUUAUGUGUUUCAGCUAUAUGAGAAUUGCAUGCUAGUAUUGAGUAGACAGCAAAUAGGAUACCCUGAUUAGGUUAUACCUGAUGGUAUGAGCUUAGCGUUGUAUGCUAGUACAGUUCCUAUAAGCAGAUAUAGUUGAAUGAGAUUGUUCCCUUAGUUCGAAUGUUGCUUGCUUUGUGCUUUGUGGGACUCUGAGUGGNACUGGCAUUACAAGGAGGCCUGCAGCAGCUGAG